rnacentral:lncRNA from 1 species
UGUUUUUUUUUAAAAAAAAUCUUGGAUUAUAAAAAAGUCACACAGGAAAAUGAGACUGCACCGAAAUUUUUCAUAACCAAGUAAGCAUAUUUGAUGAUGAAACUCCAUUAUGAAACAUAAACAGACCUUAUAUUCCCCUUGUCUAAGCAGUUAUUUGAUUGUGUGGGUAUCUUUGCUGUUAAGAGUAUGGCGGAUGGUUUUAUGAUAUGAAAGAAAGCAGAACUUGGGAGAGUUUGAUUGCCCGUGGUUCCAUUGGAAGUACUGCAAUCCAAAUUGCAGCUAUCUUGUAUGGUUUGCCGGCAUUUGUUGUUGUGAAAGAGUGUUGUUAGAUAUCUCCAACUUAGGCUUAUAUGGUUUCGCUAUUUGGUUGUCUAAUACUGAAAGGGAUGUAGAUCCUGCAAUUAACGUAGUUAAAGUUAGCUCUUAAAAGUAAUGAAUUUUUUACAAUUUUAAUGCUCAUGAAAAAGGAAAACGGACAAGGUAAACAUAAAUAAUAAUAAAUAAUAUAUUUAUUCUUUGGUGAGGGUUUAAAUUGAGUCAAAAAUUUAUACAAGGUUAGGUUCUAAAUUGAGUCAAGAAUUUCCUAUAUAAAACUUAUAAAUAUACUAACACUUAAUGUCUUUCUUGUUUUAUUUUUAUUUUUUUAAAUUGUUUCUAUGCGGACUAAAAGAUAAAUGUCUGCUAUUGUCCCCUUGAGGUCUAAACAGCUCUAAUUUCAAAACUUGUUUUAGAAGAUCCAUUAGAACGCUACUUUGUGUAUGUAGCGAGAUACGCACUAGCUAUUCUUUUCAAAAAAAACAAAUUUAUUUGCUUUCUUAUUCUUAUUUGAAAGCCGCUCUUUUUUUUUUUUU